CACGUAGGGCGCAAGCGUUGUCCGGAAUUAUUGGGCGUAAAGAGCUCGUAGGCGGUCUGUUGCGUCUGCUGUGAAAACUCGGGGCUUAACCCCGAGCCUGCAGUGGAUACGGGCAGACUAGAGGCAGGUAGGGGAGAACGGAAUUCCCGGUGUAGCGGUGAAAUGCGCAGAUAUCGGGAGGAACACCGGUGGCGAAGGCGGUUCUCUGGGCCUGUACUGACGCUGAGGAGCGAAAGCGUGGGGAGCGAACAGG
rnacentral:rRNA from 1 species